AGAAUCAACGCUGGCGGCGUGCCUAACACAUGCAAGUCGAACGAGAAAGUGGAGCAAUCCAUGAGUAAAGUGGCGACCGGGUGAGUAACACGUGACUAACCUACCUUCGAGUGGGGGAUAACCUCGGGAAACCGAGGCUAAUACCGCAUAACAUCGUGAGGUCAAAGCAGUAAUGCGCUGGAAGAGGGGGUCGCGGCUGAUUAGCUAGUUGGCGGGGUAAUGGCCCACCAAGGCGAAGAUCGGUA
rnacentral:rRNA from 1 species